UACGAAGGGGGCUAGCGUUGCUCGGAAUCACUGGGCGUAAAGGGUGCGUAGGCGGGGCUUUAAGGCAGGGGUGAAAUCCUGGAGCUCAACUCCAGAACUGCCUUUGAUACUGAAGAUCUUGAGUUCGGGAGAGGUGAGUGGAACUGCGAGUGUAGAGGUGAAAUUCGUAGAUAUUCGCAAGAACACCAGUGGCGAAGGCGGCUCACUGGACCACUACUGACGCUGAGGAACGAAAGCUAGGGGAGCAAACAGG
rnacentral:rRNA from 1 species